GCGGGCGUCGUCGUCUCGGCCCUGCAGCCGCGCCAGGAGUCCGCGCUGCACAAAGCUCUGGCGGGCGGCGCGGCCCCGGCCGCCGCUCAGCUCCACCGCGCGUUCCAGAUCCUCCAGGGCGCCUGCGGGACCGACGAGACGGGCGGGGCGGGGGUCAGCGGAGGCCAGGGCGGCCUUGCCCGAGCCCCAGCCCACCUGCGGCCGCGCGGAUCACCGUGGUUCUUGCGGCUCCCGGGCGUGGCCAUUUACAACCCGCCUCGCACCUGCUAGAGGUCCAAUCCAACAAUGUCUCCAAAUGGGGUGUCAGGGUUGAAGAUGGCCUGCAGCACUGCCUGAUCAUUUGGAGUCCCCAUGGUGCUCAACUCCAAAAUCCCAAAAGAAAAGACCCCGGCCAUGGAUGGGAGACCUAGGACAAAGAUGGAAAAGAGUGCUUGGCACCAGACAGCUGCUCAAUGAGGAACACAACUGCAUCAUGGAGAAUCCCCAGCAUCCUCAAACCGUUAACACCUAGAAGAAUCAGAAGCACCAGGGAAGUGAGGAGCGCAGUCAACAGGAAACAGCAUGGUCCUACAGAAAUGCCUAUGCUAUAGUCACUCUGCCAGAGGCUGCUCCAGGGUGAAUUAUAGUACAUAUUAGCUCGAAAUUAGCAUCAGAUAGCCAUUAAAAUGAUGCUGAUACAGAUCUAUCAAUAUGGAAAAUGUUUGUGAUAGACGGCUAAGUGAAAAAAGCAUGCCACCAAAAAAAAAAAAAAAAAA
rnacentral:lncRNA from 1 species